CCCUCAUCCCGACCCCGUGGCUCCUCCAUCAGCUGCCCCUUGUCACUCGGGCGCACACAGAAGAUGGGGAGAAGAGAAACCACAAACCAAGUAUGGCGUUGACUAAUCACCAUAUAAAGGUUUCAGAUUCGGUGUAUGGAACUUGUCCUGGAAGACGGGAUCCCGUCCUCGCAGAGUGUUGCUCUUGAGCUCGUACUGCAAUGCCUGCAGCUGUUAAUUCCAGUGCUGGUGCAGCACCUUCCUCGUCAACGUCUUGCUCACCCCACGUAUGGGCAGAGCGGUACUCCCAGUCCCCUUGAUCAAGAAACCUCUGAAUCCAAUCCCUCAAGGACUGCUCUGAUGCUCGCCAUCCCAGAUUGAUGCCG